rnacentral:rRNA from 1 species
CCUACGGGUGGCAGCAGUGAGGAAUAUUGGUCAAUGGGCGAGAGCCUGAACCAGCCAAGUCGCGUGAAGGAUGACGGCCCUACGGGUUGUAACCUUCUUUUGUCAGGGAGCAAUUGGGUCCACGCGUGGGCUUAGCGAGAUUACCUGAAUAAAAAGCAUCGGCUAACUCAGUGCCAGCAGCCGCGGUAAUACGGAGGAUGCGAGCGGUAUCCGGAUUGAUUGGGUUUAGAGGGUGCGUAGGCGGAAUAGCAAGUCAGCGGGAAAAAUUCGGGGCUCAACCCCGUCGUGCCGUUGAAACUGAUGUUCUUGAGUGGGCGAGAAGUAUGCGGAAUGCGUGGUGUAGCGGUGAAAUGCAUAGAUAUCACGCAGAACUCCGAUUGCGAAGGCAGCAUACCGGCGCCCAACUGACGCUGAAGCACGAAAGCGUGGGUAUCGAACAGGAUUAGAUACCCGGGUAGUC